AAGAAGAGGGAAAUUUGACAUGCCCACAUAGGGGAAGGCGAAAAGAAGAUGGAACAGAAAGAAUAUUCUGGUCUUGUAGACUGGAGUGAUGCAGCCCAAUGCCAAGAAAUGCUGGCGGCCACCAGAAGCCUGAAGAGACAAGAAAUGGUUCUACCCUACAGCCUCUGGAGGGAGUGUGCCCCUGCUUCCAUCUCGAUUUUGGCUCAUUAGUGCUAAUUUUGGGUUUCUAGCCUCCAGAACAAUGAGAGUAUACAUUUCUGUGGUCUUAAACCAUGAAGUUCAAGGUGAUUUGUUAUAGAUACCACCAGAAACUAUGUAUAUAACUUCUAAGCAAGUUCUACUUAGGUAUUAAAGAUACACUUAGUGGACACCUUGCUGUCUCCUGUAGCCCUCAUCUUAAACAACAAUACAAGUGCAACAUUCCUCCAACUUUACCAUGGACAGAAAACACCUGUAUCCUUUUAAAAUGCAGAUUCUAACUUGAGCCUGGGCACUAUGAGAAGAUGCAGCCCCUCUCAGCCUGGAUCUCAGACAAAUAGAGCUCUCCCAACCUCUCCUCCCCCAUCCCCACUCUUCACAACCCCUGAAGGACAUGAGGCCCAAUCAAGGAAUAACUCUUGUUGCUUAAACCCACUGA